rnacentral:tRNA from 1 species
GGCGCCGUACCCAAGUGGUAAGGGAGUGGUCUGCAAAACCAUUAUGCACCGGUUCGAGUCCGGUCGGCGCCUCCA